rnacentral:rRNA from 1 species
CGCGCAGGUGGUUUCUUAAGUCUGAUGUGAAAGCCCACGGCUCAACCGUGGAGGGUCAUUGGAAACUGGGAGACUUGAGUGCAGAAGAGGAUAGUGGAAUUCCAAGUGUAGCGGUGAAAUGCGUAGAGAUUUGGAGGAACACCAGUGGCGAAGGCGACUGUCUGGUCUGUAACUGACACUGAGGCGUGAAAGCGUGGGGAGCAAACA